rnacentral:piRNA from 1 species
UAGUUUUGUUUCACCCCCGCC